rnacentral:rRNA from 1 species
AUUGAACGCUGGCGGCAGGCCUAACACAUGCAAGUCGAGCGGAACGGCGGACGGGUGGGUGAUGCCUAUGAAUCUGCCUGGUAGUGGGGGAUAACGUCCGGAAACGGGCGCUAAUAACGACUACUAUCAGUUGAGCCUAGGUCGGAUUAGCUAGUUGGUGGGGUAAAGGCCCACCAAGGCGACGAUCCGUAACUGGUCUGAGAGGAUGAUUAGUCACACUGGAACUGAGACACGGUCCAGACUCCUACGGGAGGCAGCAGUGGGGAAUAUUGGACAAUGGGCGAAAGCCUGAUACAGCCAUGCCGCGUGUGUGAAGAAGGUCUUCGGAUUGUAAAGCACUUUAAGUUGGGAGGCGGUACCAACAGAAUAAGCACCGGCUAACUUCGUGCCAGCAGCCGCGGUAAUAC